GCCCCUUUAGCUCAUCGGUAGAGCGCCUCACUAGUAACCCCAGUAGUAAUGAGGAGGCAACUGGUUCGAUUCCAGUAAGAGGCA